AAUAUUUUUAAUCCACAUUGUUAAUCAGCAAAUACAUCUGCAGAGUGUUUGAAUUUGCAAGUUUGAAAAUCAUUGAGAACUAUCUGAAUACAAGACGACUCUCCAAUCAAGAGACAGAGGUGCAUAGCCAUUUUUUCUAUAGGAUUUCAGUGCCUAGAGAUGCAGAUAUGUGUCGGGAAGUCCUGCAAGUAUUAACCAUGCUCUGGUAUCUCACUUCUGCACACUAGUUGGACUACAACAUGCUGAUCUUAAGUCUUCAUGGAAAGCAGCUCAGAGGAAAUGUCUCUAGAAGCAAAUCAGAAAUCAGAAGCCCCAAAGGGCAUCUUCUCCUUCCUGCUUGUGUCUACAACAAUUCUGAAGAACUUGCAUUUAAUAGAAAACCAAUGUUUAAGAGUAAAGCUCCCAACUACAAGGAGAAUGGACAUCUGUCUGUUAAUAGGAACUAAAUGCUGCUUCUCAAGAAUUCUAACCACUCAGGGCUGACACAAGUAAAAAGUCUCAGGAAACUGCUGUGAAAAGCAUCUGAAAGCUAUUAUAUUAGGUAAGAGAUUAAGUAACACUUUUCACACUGAUGAAAGGGAGUGUGCUCCCUGUACCACAUACCUCUUACUUCUGAUAAAAAAUAAAGACCAGCAGCUGACAAGAGGUCAAUUUUCUGCAUAGAUUUUGCACAGAGAACUUUAUUGUGGUUGUUCAAAAGCCUCAUGCUUAGAGUACUCCUACACUUUAUUCUUGCUUACUCCAUGGCAUAUUGCUAGAAGAAAUACUGUGAAUCCUGAUUUCAGACUCUGCCCCAAGUGAAUUGCAUAGGAAGAGCCUGUUUUGGUUGAUGAAGGCAAUAUAUAGAAAUAAUUGUUUCAGUUUCAGAAGUAAGAACAAGUUAUUCCAUAGCAAAGUUAGUUUUUUAAUCACUUUGAGUAGGAAGGAAUAUUUAAAUCUGUUUAUAUUGGUCAUUGGCAUUUUUGCUUAAGAUUUAGAUCAAAGCUUAACUGUAAUCAUUUCAUCUCCUGAAACAUAUCUGAAACCAGAAGUUCUUUAGACAAAAGACAUUAGACUACCAGUAUCUGUCAAAGAAAAACCAGGCUUAACUUAGCAGCAACAAGCUUAGAUUUGCAUCCACAAUUCAAAGAUGAAAGGGAUCAAUCAUCUGAGUAUUCCAGAACUUUCUACCAAAUUACAAUGAAAGUACUGUUGUCUGAAACACAUUAAUAAUCACAGCUUUGCUAUUGUAGAUUUUUCAUUAUGUAGAUAUUUACAUUCAUGUGGGUGAGUUACUGUAGAUUUUUCAUAAUGUAGAUAUUUACAUUCAUGU